GGUCCUAUGGUCAAGCGGUCAAGACACCGCCCUUUCACGGCGGUAACCCGGGUUCGAUUCCCGGUAGGAUCACCA
rnacentral:tRNA from 2 species